rnacentral:rRNA from 1 species
UACAGAGGGGGCAAGCGUUGUUCGGAAUUACUGGGCGUAAAGGGCGCGUAGGCGGCCUUCUAAGUCGAACGUGAAAUCCCCGGGCUCAACCCGGGAACUGCGUCCGAUACUGGAAGGCUUGAAUUCGGGAGAGGGAUGCAGAAUUCCAGGUGUAGCGGUGAAAUGCGUAGAUAUCUGGAGGAACACCGGUGGCGAAGGCGGCUCUCUGGACCACUACUGACGCUGAGGCGCGAAAGCUAGGGGAGCAAACAGGAGU